CUCUCUCUCUCUCUCUCUCUGAAUUUCAUUUUCUCAUGAAAACCUCAAACCCCACUUGGAAGAAAUUGGAUUUGCUUCUCUUUUAAGUUCCCUUUCAAGCUCAAAGUCUUCUCUCUCUUUUAACUUUGUCUGCUUCGUUUUCAAGAACAUAAAACUUAAGUCUCUGUGGUUUUGCAUUACAGAGUUGGUGGUGGAUAUGAUCUCUUCUCUCUCUUGAAAAGCCAUGUCUGGGUCGUCUAUUCUGUUUUGUUUUGCCCUUUUGCCACUUCUCAGCUUUCAAUGCUAAUUAGGUUGCCAGGUGCCUGAAAAAUUCCGACUCAAAUCGUCAAAACCUAGUUCACACCUGGUUUGACAGUCCAUUCCCUCUUUAUGUAUGCCCUGAAAAAUCCAACUCAAAUCGUCAAAAGCUAGUUCACUCCAAGUUUCACAACCCAUUCUCUCUUUUUCUAACUUAUACAUAUCUCUUUCUAUUGAAAAUAAUUCAAAGUUCAAGUCUUUUCUACUUCAUUUCAUUACUGAAAUCUAACCCAGCUCAUCUAAUCCUUAAAAACCAUAUCUUCAUCUUCAAGAACCAAAACCGCUUCAAUUCAGCAAAUCCUGCAAAACCUAUCUCUGUUUUUAUCCAUUUGGUGUAAGAGCCAGCAGAGAUAACAUGCAAGAUCCAUCAACUGCA
rnacentral:misc_RNA from 1 species